AUGGGUAGGCGGAGCAAAUGGUGGGCGGCGGCGCUCGUCAGGUGCUGCGCGCUUGUCAUGCUGUGCGUGGGCAGCGCCGUCGUCGCCGCCGUGGACGAGCAGGGUGCGGCCCUGCUCGCGUGGAAGGCGACGCUGCGUAACGGGGUUGGCGCGCUGGCGGACUGGAAGGCCGCGGACGCGUCGCCCUGCCGGUGGACCGGCGUGGCGUGCAAUGCCGACGGCGGCGUCACCGAGCUGCGCCUGGAGUUUGUCGACCUCCUCGGCGGCGUCCCGGCCAACCUGGCCGCCGCCGUCGGAGGCACGCUGACCCGGCUCGUCCUCACCGGCACGAACCUAACGGGCCCGAUCCCGCCGGAGCUCGGCGCGCUGCCCGCGCUGGCGCACCUCGACCUCAGCAACAAUGCGCUCACGGGGUCCAUACCGGCCGGGCUUUGCCGGACGGGGAGCAAGCUCGAGACGCUCUACCUCAACUCCAACCGGCUGGAGGGCGCCAUCCCGGACGCCAUCGGCAACCUCACGUCGCUCCGGGAGCUCAUCAUCUACGACAACCAGCUAGGCGGCAGGAUUCCGGCGGCCAUCGGCCGCAUGGCCAGCCUCGAGGUGCUCCGCGGCGGCGGCAACAAGAACCUCCACGGCGCGCUCCCCACGGAGAUCGGCAGCUGCUCGAGGCUCACCAUGGUCGGCCUCGCCGAGACCAGCAUCACCGGCCCGCUCCCUGCGAGCCUCGGCCGCCUCAAGAACCUCACCACGCUGGCCAUCUACACGGCGCUGCUCUCUGGCCCGAUACCCAAAGAGCUCGGCCGGUGCAGCAGCCUGGAGAACAUCUACCUCUACGAGAACGCGCUAUCCGGGUCCAUCCCGGCGGAGCUCGGCGCGCUCAAGAAGCUCAAGAACCUGCUGCUGUGGCAGAACCAGCUCGUCGGCAUCAUCCCGCCGGAGCUCGGCUCGUGCAGCGAGCUCGCGGUGAUCGACCUGUCGAUCAACGGGCUCACCGGCCACAUCCCGGCGUCGCUCGGGAAACUCUUGUCGCUGCAGGAGCUGCAGCUCAGCGGGAACAAGAUCUCUGGCACUGUGCCGCCGGAGCUCGCCCGGUGCAGCAACCUCACCGACCUCGAGCUCGACAACAACCAGAUCACGGGCGCCAUCCCUGCCGAGCUUGGCGGCCUCCCGGCGUUGCGCAUGCUUUACCUGUGGGCCAACCAGCUGACCGGAAACAUCCCGCCGGAGCUCGGCCGGUGCACUAGCCUCGAGGCGCUGGACCUGUCGACCAAUGCUCUGUCCGGGCCGAUCCCACCGUCGCUCUUCCAGCUUCCACGGCUGUCCAAGCUGCUCCUCAUCAACAACGAACUCUCCGGCCAGUUGCCAGCGGAGAUUGGCAAUUGCACGUCCCUCGACCGCUUCCGGGCAAGCGGCAACCACAUCGCCGGCGCGAUACCACCGGAAAUCGGCAUGCUUGGGAACCUCAGCUUCCUGGACCUGGGCUCCAACCGGCUGUCCGGUGCCCUCCCCACGGAGUUGUCCGGAUGCCGGAACCUCACGUUCGUCGACCUCCACGACAAUGCCAUCUCCGGCGUGCUGCCGGCAGGGCUCUUCAAGGAAUUGCUCUCGCUCCAGUACCUAGACCUCUCCUACAAUGCCAUCUCCGGCGCGCUCCCGUCCGACAUCGGCCUGCUCAAUUCGUUGACAAAGCUCAUUCUCAGCGGCAACCGGCUGUCCGGAGCGAUGCCACCAGAGAUCGGCUCGUGCUCCCGUCUCCAGCUCCUCGACGUCGGCGGCAACUCGCUGUCCGGUCACAUUCCGGGGAGCAUCGGCAAGAUUCCGGGACUGGAGAUCGCCCUUAAUCUCAGCUGCAACCGCUUCUCCGGCUCGAUGCCAUCGGAGUUCGCAGGGCUCGUGAGGCUUGGGGUGCUCGACGUGUCACACAACCAGCUCUCCGGCGAUCUCCAGGCGCUGUCCGCGCUCCAGAACCUCGUGGCGCUCAACGUCUCCUUCAACGGCUUCUCCGGCCGGCUUCCAGAGACGGCGUUCUUCGCGAAGCUCCCAACCAGCGACGUCGAGGGCAACCAGGCACUGUGCCUCUCGCGGUGCUCUGGCGACGCAGGCGACCGUGAGCUCGAGGCACGCCGCGCCGCUCGUGUCGCGAUGGCCGUCCUGCUCACCGCCCUCGUCGUCCUCCUGGUGGCAGCGGUGCUCGUCCUGUUCGGUUGGCGCCGGCGCGGCGAGCGUGCCAGCGAGGACAAGGGCGCCGAGAUGUCGCCGCCGUGGGACGUCACGCUGUACCAGAAGCUGGACAUCGGCGUCGCCGACGUGGCCCGCAGCCUCACUCCGGCGAACGUGAUCGGCCACGGGUGGUCGGGCGCGGUGUACCGUGCCAACAUCCCGUCGUCCGGCGUCACGGUCGCCGUGAAGAAAUUCCAGUCAUGCGACGAGGCGUCCGUGGAGGCGUUCGCGUGCGAGAUCAGCGUGCUGCCCCGGGUGCGCCACCGCAACAUCGUCCGUCUGCUUGGAUGGGCGUCCAACCGCCGGACGCGCCUCCUCUUCUACGACUACCUCCCGAACGGCACUCUAGGAGGUCUGCUCCACGGCGGCGCGACCGGUGCGGCCGUCGUGGAGUGGGAAGUGCGGCUCGCGAUCGCCGUGGGCGUGGCCGAGGGCCUCGCUUACCUCCACCACGACUGCGUGCCGGGGAUCAUCCACCGUGACGUCAAGGCCGACAACAUCCUCCUCGGCGACCGCUACGAGGCUUGCCUCGCCGACUUCGGCCUGGCACGAGUCGCCGAUGACGGCGCCAACUCGUCGCCUCCGCCGUUCGCCGGAUCCUACGGCUACAUCGCUCCCGAGUACGGUUGCAUGACCAAGAUCACAACCAAGAGCGACGUGUACAGCUUUGGUGUGGUGCUGCUGGAGAUGAUCACGGGGCGGCGCACGCUGGACCCGGCGUUCGGCGAGGGGCAGAGCGUGGUGCAGUGGGUGCGCGACCACCUGUGCCGGAAGCGCGACCCGGCGGAGAUCGUGGACGCGAGGCUGCAAGGCCGGCCGGACACGCAGGUCCAGGAAAUGCUGCAAGCCCUCGGCAUCGCGCUGCUGUGCGCCAGCCCGCGCCCGGAGGACCGGCCGACCAUCAAGGACGUGGCGGCGCUGCUACGCGGCAUCCGGCACGACGACGGCCCCGACGCGCGGAAGGCCGGGAACGCAGAGCGGGCCGAUGCGAAGCCCAUCUCACCCACCAAACUUAUGGCUCUCACCAGACCGGUCCAAACGCAGGCCCAGGUCCAGGCCCGAGCGAGUUCAGGUUCCCUGGGCCUACUCAACAACCGGGACGGAUAG
rnacentral:rRNA from 1 species